rnacentral:rRNA from 1 species
ACGAACGCUGGCGGCAUGCCUAACACAUGCCAGUCGAACGAGACCUUCGGGUCUAGUGGCGCACGGGUGCGUAACGCGUGGGAACCUGCCCUUAGGUUCGGAAUAACUCCCCGCAAGGGGUGCUAAUACCGGAUAAUGUCUUCGGACCAAAGAUUUAUCGCCUUUGGAUGGGCCCGCGUUGGAUUAGCUAGUUGGUAGGGUAAAAGCCUACCAAGGCGACGAUCCAUAGCUGGUCUGAGAGGAUGAUCAGCCACACUGGGACUGAGACACGGCCCAGACUCCUACGGGAGGCAGCAGUGGGGAAUAUUGGACAAUGGGCGAAAGCCUGAUCCAGCAAUGCCGCGUGAGUGAUGAAGGCCUUAGGGUUGUAAAGCUCUUUUACCCGGGAUGAUAAUGACAGUACCGGGAGAAUAAGCUCCGGCUAACUCCGUG